rnacentral:rRNA from 1 species
CAUGCAAGUCGAACGAAGCGGUUUAGCGGAAGUUUUCGGAUGGAAGCUAAACUGACUGAGUGGCGGACGGGUGAGUAACGCGUGGGUAACCUGCCUCACACAGGGGGACAACAGCUAGAAAUGGCUGCUAAUACCGCAUAAGCGCACAGCUUCGCAUGAAGCAGUGUGAAAAACUCCGGUGGUGUGAGAUGGACCCGCGUCUGAUUAGCUAGUUGGUGAGGUAACGGCUCACCAAGGCGACGAUCAGUAGCCGACCUGAGAGGGUGACCGGCCACAUUGGGACUGAGACACGGCCCAAACUCCUACGGGAGGCAGCAGUGGGGAAUAUUGCACAAUGGGGGAAACCCUGAUGCAGCGACGCCGCGUGAGUGAAGAAGUAUUUCGGUAUGUAAAGCUCUAUCAGCAGGGAAGAGAAUGACGGUACCUGACUAAGAAGCCCCGGCUAACUACGUGCCAGCAGCCGCGGUAAUACGUAGGGGGCAAGCGUUAUCCGGAUUUACUGGGUGUAAAGGGAGCGUAGACGGCUUAGCAAGUCUGAAGUGAAAGCCCGGGGCUCAACCCCGGGACUGCUUUGGAAACUGUUAAGCUAGAGUGCUGGAGAGGUAAGCGGAAUUCCUAGUGUAGCGGUGAAAUGCGUAGAUAUUAGGAGGAACACCAGUGGCGAAGGCGGCUUACUGGACAGUAACUGACGUUGAGGCUCGAAAGCGUGGGGAGCAAACAGGAUUAGAUACCCUGG